rnacentral:tRNA from 1 species
GCGCUGAUAGCUCAGCUGGAUAGAGCAACUGCCUUCUAAGCAGUAGGUCGGGGGUUCGAGUCCCUCUCAGCGCG